rnacentral:rRNA from 1 species
UACGAAGGGGGCGAGCGUUUGUUCGGAUUUACUGGCGUAAAGGGCGCGUAGGCGGCGGGUCAAGUCGAGUGUGGAAAGCCCCGGGCUCAACCUGGGAAUUGCGCUCGAGACUGGUCUGCUUGAGUUCGGGAGAGGGGAGUGGAAUUCCCAGUGUAGAGGUGAAAUUCGUAGAUAUUGGGAAGAACACCGGGUGGCGAAGGCGGCGUCUCUGGACCGAGGACUGACGCUGAGGCGCGAAGCGUGGGGAGCAAACAGG